GUAGUGGUAAGUUAAAAUAAAAACUGUGUGGUUCAUAUCCAAAUAAUGAAAGUUAUCUUUAAACAUUUUCUCACUAUA
rnacentral:tRNA from 1 species